AUUGAACGCUGGCGGCAGGCCUAACACAUGCAAGUCGAACGGUAGCACAGAGAGCUUGCUCUCGGGUGACGAGUGGCGGACGGGUGAGUAACGUCUGGGAAACUGCCCGAUGGAGGGGGAUAACUACUGGAAACGGUAGCUAAUACCGCAUAACGUCGCAAGACCAAAGUGGGGGACCUUCGGGCCUCACACCAUCGGAUGUGCCCAGAUGGGAUUAGCUAGUAGGUGGGGUAAUGGCUCACCUAGGCGACGCUCCCUAGCUGGUCUGGGAGGAUGCCCAGCGACACUGGAACUGAGACACGGUCCAGACUCCUACGGGAGGCAGCAGUGGGGGAUAUUGCACAAUGGGCGCAAGCCUGAUGCAGCCAUGCCGCGUGUAUGAAGAAGGCCUUCGGGUUGUAAAGUACUUUCAGCGGGGAGGAAGGCGGUGAAGUUAAUAGCUUAACCGAUUGACGUUACCCGCAGAAGAAGCACCGGCUAACUCCGUGCCAGCCGCCGCCGUAA
rnacentral:rRNA from 1 species